AUAUGCCUGGGAAGUUCGCGUUUUUAUCAAUAUGCGAACCGAACAACAAAGUUAUAGGAAGUUGAGGUAUACUGGGCGUGAAGGCUCACGAUGCGAAGAGUGAGAAUCCCGAAAGUAUGCAAAAAGAGAUUUCCACCGUGUGAAAGACAGGUUUCACAUAGUAAUAACGGCUUCCUGGGUACUAA
rnacentral:other from 1 species